UGAGGUAAUGGCUCACCAAGGCUGCGAUCCGUAACUGGUCUGAGAGGAUGAUCAGUCACACUGGAACUGAGACACGGUCCAGACUCCUACGGGAGGCAGCAGUGGGGAAUAUUGGACAAUGGGCGAAAGCCUGAUCCAGCCAUGCCGCGUGUGUGAAGAAGGUCUUCGGAUUGUAAAGCACUUUAAGUUGGGAGGAAGGGCAGUAAGUUAAUACCUUGCUGUUUUGACGUUACCGACAGAAUAAGCACCGGCUAACUUCGUGCCAGCAGCCGCGGUAAUACGAAGGGUGCAAGCGUUAAUCGGAAUUACUGGGCGUAAAGCGCGCGUAGGUGGUUUGUUAAGUUGGAAGUGAAAGCCCCGGGCUCAACCUGGGAACUGCUUUCAAAACUGGCAAGCUAGAGUAUGGC
rnacentral:rRNA from 2 species